rnacentral:tRNA from 1 species
UGCUGUGGCUCAGUCGGUAGAGCGUCGCCUUGGUAAGGCGGAGGUCACGGGUUCGAUUCCCGUCAGCA